AAACACUAGAGGGAGCUGUCCUGUACAGAGCAGUGCUGAAACACUAGAGAGAGCUGUCCUGUACAGUCUGGUGCUGAAACACUAGAGAGAGCUGUCCUGUACAGAGCAGUGCUGAAACACUAGAGAGAGCUGUCCUGUACAGAGCAGUGCUGAAACACUAGAGGGCGCUGUCCUGUACUGAGUGGGAGAUGUGUCAUCAUUAGAGAUGCUGGUCAUGUGUUUCUGUUUCUGAGGUCUUUCUCAUCUUCUGUCUGCUGUCCUGCCAGUCCCCCAGCAGAGUAAGAGGCUGACCCCCCCAGCCAUCGCCCUGCGCUCCAAGUCCAUGACCUCAGAGCUGGAGGAGAUGGUGGAGAAAGCUGCUUCUCCUUGGAA